rnacentral:rRNA from 1 species
AGACGCUGGCGGAGGCCUAGACAUGCAAUGUCGAACGGUACGACACUAGCUUGCUAGUGGGCGACGAGUGGCGGACGGGUGAGUAACGCGUAGUGAAUCUACCUAGUAGUGGGGGAUAGCCAAGGGAAACUUUGGGUAAUACCUGCAUACGAUCUAAGGAUGAAAGGGGGCCUCUCUUUGAAGCUCUCGCUAUUAGAUGAGCCUGCGUAAGAUUAGCUUGUUGGUGAGGUAAUGGCUCACCAAGGCGACGAUCUUUAGCUGGUCUGAGAGGAUGAUCAGUCACACUGGAACUGAGACACGGUCCAGACUCCUACGGGAGGCAGCAGUCGGGAAUAUUGGACAAUGGGGGAAACCCUGAUCCAGCCAUGCCGCGUGUGUGAAGAAGGCCCUAGGGUUGUAAAGCACUUCUAGUAGUGAGGAAGGCUCAGCAGUUAAUACCUGCUGGGAUUGACGUUCGCUCCAGAAAAAGACCGGCUAACUUCGUGACAGCAGCCCGCGGCAACUACCGCAACAGGUGCCAAGCGUCCAUCCGGAAUCACUGGGGCCGUAACGCGCGCGUACGACGGGCAGGGAAAGAUGCGCGUCGACAGCCCGGGCUCAAACAGGGAACCGCAUCCACAACUGCCAGCCAGAAGCAGGGAGA